AGCUUUGUGCAGUGGCAGUAUUGUAGCCAAUGAGGUUUAUCCGAGGUGCAAUUAUUGCUAAUUAAAAAAGUUAAAAGUUAAGUGAUGUAAGAUUUACAUAAAAGAAUAUUCUCAAUGAAAAAUGCUUC
ensembl:snRNA U4 U4 spliceosomal RNA